rnacentral:rRNA from 1 species
GAUGAACGCUAGCGGCAGGCCUAAUACAUGCAAGUCGGACGGGAUUCGGGAGCUUGCUCCUGAUGAGAGUGGCGCACGGGUGCGUAACACGUAUGCAACCUACCUUUACCAGGGGGAUAGCCUCUCGAAAGAGAGAUUAACACCGCAUAAAAUUAGUUUAUGGCAUCAUAAAUUGAUCAAAUAUUUAUAGGGUAAAGAAGGGCAUGCGGAACAUUAGCUAGUUGGUAAGGUAACGGCUUACCAAGGCGACGAUGUUUAGGGGAUCUGAGAGGAUGACCCCCCACACUGGUACUGAGACACGGACCAGACUCCUACGGGAGGCAGCAGUAAGGAAUAUUGGUCAAUGGGCGCGAGCCUGAACCAGCCAUGCCGCGUGCAGGAAGACGGCCCUACGGGUUGUAAACUGCUUUUGUACGGGAAUAAACCCUGAUACGUGUAUCAGGCUGAAUGUACCGUAAGAAUAAGGAUCGGCUAACUCCGUGCCAGCCGCCGCAGUAA